CUCAGGACGAACGCUGGCGGCGUGCCUAAUACAUGCAAGUCGAGCGAAUCGAUGGGAGCUUGCUCCCUGAGAUUAGCGGCGGACGGGUGAGUAACACGUGGGCAACCUGCCUAUAAGACUGGGAUAACUUCGGGAAACCGGAGCUAAUACCGGAUACGUUCUUUUCUCGCAUGAGAGAAGAUGGAAAGACGGUUUACGCUGUCACUUAUAGAUGGGCCCGCGGCGCAUUAGCUAGUUGGUGAGGUAAUGGCUCACCAAGGCGACGAUGCGUAGCCGACCUGAGAGGGUGAUCGGCCACACUGGGACUGAGACACGGCCCAGACUCCUACGGGAGGCAGCAGUAGGGAAUCUUCCGCAAUGGACGAAAGUCUGACGGAGCAACGCCGCGUGAACGAAGAAGGCCUUCGGGUCGUAAAGUUCUGUUGUUAGGGAAGAACAAGUACCAGAGUAACUGCUGGUACCUUGACGGUACCUAACCAGAAAGCCACGGCUAACUACGUGCCAGCAGCCGCGGUAAUACGUAGGUGGCAAGCGUUGUCCGGAAUUAUUGGGCGUAAAGCGCGCGCAGGUGGUUCCUUAAGUCUGAUGUGAAAGCCCACGGCUCAACCGUGGAGGGUCAUUGGAAACUGGGGAACUUGAGUGCAGAAGAGGAAAGUGGAAUUCCAAGUGUAGCGGUGAAAUGCGUAGAGAUUUGGAGGAACACCAGUGGCGAAGGCGACUUUCUGGUCUGUAACGACACNAGGCG
rnacentral:rRNA from 2 species